GUGUAGAUGUGGCAGCUUGAAAAGUUUAACACACAGGUCAAAAACGUCCGCCAUUGACCAAUUUCUCACCUUGACCUGCUCUUUGGCCCUAUCCAUUUGACGUUUCAAAAUUUUAUAUUACGCCCGGCAGGCUGCUUUGCCUUCUCAUUUGAUAACGCUUUCGAAUCACAUGUCAAUGAAUACAAACUAUAUAUCUCAAGUUACUUGCCUGAACUUCUCACUUCCAUAUCCAACCCCAAAACGCCUACUUCCAUAAUUGUAGAUGAUCAUGAAGGCCAACACAAAUACAACAAUGGAGCAUCCAGCUCUAGAGGGCAUGUGCAGUGACCUUGCGGCGAAUAUCAUGUCCCGUCUCGACGGUUUAGCCCUGGCCUCCCUCGCUUGCACCUCGUCGGACCUCCGAGGCAUCGCUCGAAACAAUAGCUUGUGGAAAGAGCUAUGCCACUCCACAUGGCCUUCUACUGCACAGCAUCUUCUUUCGCCUUCACUCAUCUGCCAUUUUGAUAAAUUCUUUGCUGAUUCCUACCCAUUGAUAUUCUAUGAUGAAGCUUCCAACCACAGCUCUAAUGAACCGGAAACCAGCACUUCUCCUAGUGAUUUUGUGUCGCUUGUAGAUAUUUAUUACAGGAAUCAAUGUGUUCUCUCCAGGGUUCUACACGGCAUACCUGAUGCUGUAGAUGUGUUCAACUCCAAGAUCAUGGAUGACAACUGCUACAUAAUUUCCAGUGAACGUGAAAAAUGGUUUCUGAAUUGCCCCUUUAAUCUACAAUUGCUGGAUCUCACAUAUGAUGAGGAUGAUGAGGAUGAUGAUCAUCUCAGCUAUCUUGGUCAUGCCAACAACAAUGAGAGAUCAACUUCCCUGGAACCAGAUCACUGCAAGGAGCUCAUGGAGGACCUCAGACUGAGUUGGAUACUGUUAGAUAAGAAGACAGGCAAAGCAGUUAAUCUCUCAACCUGGAAGCCACUGUCAGUACAGAUUAUCAGGCCACAUGGGCACUAUGUAAUGCGUUUUGGGAGCAUCAUAUCCGUUGAAGAAAAUGUGCUGCCUCAAAAGCUAGCCAGGUGCACAAUAACAACUAAAUUUAAGGUGACUGAAACGCCUGGACUUAUUCAAUGGAGACAAAUCAGCAUGAGCAUUGAGAAUGUAACAGGCUCCCUUCUUGAUGGAAAAACGAGCUUGAUGAUUCUGAACAAGGCACUAUACAGUAUGAGAACCACAAAUUGGCUUAAGGUGGAAAAUGGCUUCAAUCAAUAUGACAAACAAAAAAGAGGGAUAAUAAGGAGAGAGGAAUUGAGAGAAACUUUAGCCAACAGGAUUUAUAUCUCGGUUGAAAUUGUAGUUUUUACACUUCUUUAUCACGCUUUUAGACAACUGUUUUAGCACUCUCAAACCAUAGCUGCAAAACUUAUUCUUCAUGUAAUAAUAUAUAUAUAUUUUUUAAAUCUUGCUACAACAGACCCUUGACUCCACUUAUAUUGUAAUAACCAAAGCUAAGUCCAUAGGCAACAUAAUUUUGCAUGGCUGAACAUAAAUUAGUACUCAAUGUGAAGAAAAAUAUUUGUUACAUUGUAAAAUAAGAGAUUGAUACAACUACGAAAGCAAAAUCUCUGAAUCUGGAACAUUCUUCUACUAAAUUCAGUGUGGUGCACUGAAAAGUGCUCUGCUAAUGAUCCCAGUAGCCUCUAUGUAACGGUCCACGCACCUGGAGAUACAGCUACUUUCACUACCGCUCAGGCUUGAACUUGGUUUUGUAAUGCACUUCUCAAAACAUUUCCCCCUAACAGUCUGCAAAGAGCGAAAAAAAAAAAUGAGUAAACUACACAAAAUUAUGCACAUUAUUCUGCUCAAAUACAAUAGACCGCACUUCACAAACAAGAGUUCAAGUAAACAAUUAUGGGCUCCUUAUAGGAC
rnacentral:lncRNA from 1 species